UGGGGAAUAUUGGACAAUGGGCGCAAGCCUGAUCCAGCCAUGCCGCGUGAGUGAUGAAGGCCCUAGGGUUGUAAAGCUCUUUCACCGGUGAAGAUAAUGACGGUAACCGGAGAAGAAGCCCCGGCUAACUUCGUGCCAGCAGCCGCGGUAAUACGAAGGGGGCUAGCGUUGUUCGGAUUUACUGGGCGUAAAGCGCACGUAGGCGGACUAUUAAGUCAGGGGUGAAAUCCCGGGGCUCAACCCCGGAACUGCCUUUGAUACUGGUAGUCUUGAGUUCGAGAGAGGUGAGUGGAAUUCCGAGUGUAGAGGUGAAAUUCGUAGAUAUUCGGAGGAACACAAGUGGCGAAGGCGGCUCACUGGCUCGAUACUGACGCUGAGGUGCGAAAGCGUGGGGAGCAAACAGG
rnacentral:rRNA from 1 species